ACGAGUUGAAAGAAAUCUCUUCCGAAGUCAUGGUUGAAGACUCUUUGAUGGUUAAUUUGGCUGCUCAGAUGAAGGAACUUCAAGCCAAAAUGGACGACUGCAGGGCGAGAAUGGCUGCUAAAAAGCGCAACGCCUCCCAGGAAAUUGAGCGAACUAAGUCCUUGUUCGAGCAGUACAAGAAGUUGGAAGUUGAUGAUGA
rnacentral:lncRNA from 1 species